rnacentral:rRNA from 1 species
GACGAACGCUGGCGGCGUGCUUAACACAUGCAAGUCGAACGGUGACGGAGAGCUUGCUCUCCUGAUCAGUGGCGAACGGGUGAGUAACACGUGGGCAACCUGCCCCAGACUUCGGGAUAACGCUUCGAAAGAGGUGCUAAUACCGGAUACGAGCUCCUUGGGCAUCCUUGGAGUUGGAAAGUUUUUCGGUCUGGGAUGGGCCCGCGGCCUAUCAGCUAGUUGGUGAGGUAACGGCUCACCAAGGCGACGACGGGUAGCUGGCCUGAGAGGGCGACCGGCCACACUGGGACUGAGACACGGCCCAGACUCCUACGGGAGGCAGCAGUGGGGAAUAUUGCGCAAUGGGCGAAAGCCUGACGCAGCAACGCCGCGUGAGGGAUGACGGCCUCGGUUGGUAACCGUACUUCUAGUCAGGAAGAAGACGAAGUAGACGGUACCGUCGCAGAAGAAGAC